AACCACACCUCUGCCAGCAGCCAGCAGGCAGAAACCUCCGGGCUCUGCCAGUGCCGUUCCUGUCCGGGGGAUGCUUCGGGGCACUGGGAGAUGCCCAGCCAGGCCCCAGGUCUCCGAUGCUUCCUUCCUGCCAGAUCGCAAAGUUGGACGUCUCAGGUUUUCAGAAAAUCCUCCUGGUUUCCCUGCCUCUGGUGUGUGGAGUCAGAGCCAGGCAUGCAGGAGCCAGCAGUGAGAGGUGUUUGGUUCUGGACAUCACAGAGUGAGCCUGACGUGGAGGAGGAGAACAGAGGAGCCUCAGACCAGCUGCUUUUUUCCUUGCCUUUCCUUCCCACACAGGGACGCUUGAGGAGCAGCACCUGCAAAGGAAAUUUUCUGCUUUCCACAUUUCUGAAGAGUUCGUUUGGCUUUUCCACCCCCCAUCAGAGGUUUCCAAGAGCACUACGUGAUGGUCAGUAAGCAAACUUGGAUGAAUGCGUUGGGGUGGCAGCGGUGCAUGUUUCAGGCUGAGACACGGGAAGCACGUCUCAAUGCGACUGCACGACACAACUGGUAAGUUGUAAGGUGGUGGAACCUGCGUCUUGGUGGGGCAAAAAAACAGGUAGGCAUGGGGCAGGUUUAGAAAGUCAUUAAAAGUGUCACUGAGCUGUAGCAAAAGUUAUGUCCAAGCAUGCAUCAAAAAAAAAAAAAAAAAAAGCUGUGCCUGGGCAGGCUGAUGUGGCAGGCUGUUACCAGCAGUAUCAGGACCGUGCCUGACUGGAGUGAAAGGCACAUGGGCGUUAAAAGGGAUGGAAAGUUGGAAUGUUUUAUGGAGCAUAAACAGUGAUGAAGCCUUUGACCACCCCACAGUGCCAACUUGCUCAGACUCCUCUUUCUGAGCUAUUUAGGAGGCACGGGGGAGAUCCCUCAUAAACAUCCAGACAAGGGGAUGCCUGGACCAGGCAGGUGGGGGUCUGGGGAGGUUGGAAGCGAAGGCCCCUGGGCUUCCCUGGGCUGAGCUCAUCCUCAAGCAGCCACCAGCUUUGCUACCCUCCCUCUGCCCCUGAGCAGCGCCCGGCGGCAGCGGUGAAGCAGGAGGCGCCGCUCACUGCCCAGCAAGGCUUCUGGCAGCGCGUGGAACAGCUUGGGAGGGUGAGGUGGUACCUUCCAAAAAACAAACCCAAAGCAGUGCUGUCAGCGUGGUUUGGGGGCCGAGUUUUUAUUAUUAUUGUUGUUGUAUUUUCUUUAUGAACCUGUAAAGGUGAGGUAGAGCUUCUGAAGGCAGAAGGAAGUCAGUCCUUGGAAUAAUAAAUAAAUAGACUGCUGGAAGAGGUGGCACUAAACUCUGAGUGCCAAAGUUGUUGUGUUUGGCAAAAUUGGUGGUAGACUGGAGGAAACACAUGAAACCUAACCAAGCACACUGUUAGAGCUGUCUCUGGGUUGCAGAAAAGGGGGCAGGAAGCAGGGGAGAUUUCUUUUGGUUUGAUUUUUUCUGCUGGCACUGGGUAGAAGUGAGAAUUUUGGGGUGACGAAACUUGACUGGGACAUUGCAUCUUGCUGAAAUAAAUUCAUGUUGCUGCAGGGACUCUGCAGCUUUGGGGGACAGCUGUCUAAGGUAGAAUACCUCGUUCAAAAGUUUCUGAGAACUUGCUAGAAGAAGAAUGCUGAGGGAUGGGGGGGGUGUUGGUAAUAAGAAAGAAGGUCCUGUAGAAGAGAAAGCAAAUGUGUGGUUGUAGCUGUGCUGUGCACGUCUCCCAUCCCAGUCCAAGCUCCCACCACGUUACAAGAUGAAGGCAAAGGACAGGGUGGCACCAGAUACACCUCGUAAAGAGCUUAUUCUCUUUUAUAAGGAUAAAUACAUGAUUAAGAGCUCUAACAGUCACGAGUAAUGGCUGAGGGAUGGCUGCAUGCUCUCCAGUACAGAGAGCCAUUAUACUUGGGUGUUUUUACAGCCGGUAGACUAGGGAAAUGCUCCAGUGGCCUUCAGGAACCACCUCUGGGCAGAGCUCUCCUGCAGAAACACAAAUGAGGCUUACCUAAAAACUUGGAAGGGCAAUCUCUACAAAAACUGAUAACAGAAAAAAGAAAAAAAAAAGAAAACAGAAACCAACAAACAAAAAAAUAAACAUACAAAAAAGGCAAGUAAGAUAGCAAGUUCUGGAAGAGGGAGAGUCACUGCUCUAGAAGAGGAGCAGCAGGAGGAUUUUUUAUAGGUUUGGAGGAUGAACUGGCAGUGCUGGAGGAGGAUCUAUCCUGGAAGCCCAGCAGUUCUGCUAGAUCUUAAUGUUAGCUGCAGCACGAUCAGGCCUAAAAAUGUAGGAUGAAACUUUAUUUUUUAACACUUGUCAUAGGCCUACUUCUGUUCCCACUCCUCCUCUGAAGCUGAACUGCCAGCAGGCUCAGCAUGUGACGAUAGGUGUUCUUAGGCAUGCACUGUAUGUAAUUUAAAUCUCUGCUUAAAGUCAUCUAAGGGACAUCAGCGGUCUACUUGGUGAUGACCUAUUUACUUUAAAGCUACUGCUUAGUACAAAACCCAUGCACGCUGAUCAUUGAAACAUUAAUUACAUAUCAUGCUCUCUUCCCAGACAGCCCGCUCCUUAGGGCUCCGUGUUCUGUCUCUGAAAUUACCUUGGAGGGAGAGAAAUUAUUUCCAAAUUGCUCCACAGAAUGCCUUGACAAUCAGUAUUUAUUCAUAUGUUACAUUUAAACAUAAAUAAUUGAGCAAUAAAGAGAAUAGUCUGCUCUUGACAAAAAUAAAUAAGUUAAUACACAAUAUUCAUAAAAUACAAUUAGACAGAACAUUUUAACAAAUACAACAAAGUUUGUAGAGGAUUUUUUUUUAAACAGUAGAGUGGUAUAGUACAUUCCCAACAAAAAAAAUAGUGCAGUUUUUAUUUUUUACAUCACUUUCUCAGGCUCUGUGAAUUGGAGGGCUUUUUCGCUCAUCAUUUUUUUUAAAUACUAUUUCACUUUUCAAGUGAACAGACAAACACACAAACUGAAGCGCUUUGGAGACCUUUCAGCAGCCAUGCACUGGCCUACAGAACAGUUUGAUGCACAGCUACAGGUAACGAGUUCAGGCUGUGAGCAUGCCUGCAGUACGACUUCUUGGCUUCUAAUCCUGAGCACACCCUAACUGUGGGAGCACGUGGCGGGAGGGGAGUAAAGCUUAUCAUAACUUUCUUCCUUCUGUAACUCCCACUGCGAUUAUUUUAGCACUGUUCUGUGUAGAAAGGGGGUUUCCUUCUAAACCGCCUCCUCCACAGUACCUUUUUCAGCAUUAUGUAGGCUCAUCUGUUCGCACUUGUUUUGUGACCAUGGUGCUUCUGAGCGUGGAGAACGACAGGUUUGAUCCCACAACAGCAGUGAAGGUGCGUGUGCCUACACCAGGGGCCUGAUGACCUGGUCUGGGGGGGGCAGGACUGAAGUGACGCAGGCUGUGUGACAACGGAGGGAGGGAUGGGUUGGGAUGGGUGUUUUUCUUUACCAUCCCAUCAAAUUUUCAGAGACCGGUUUAAGGGCUUGGUUAUGGAGCUGAAAAGCACUUUGUGUCCAUUUGGACUACUAUUCAUAUUAUUUAUUUUCAUAAGAAGAGAUCUAAUCACAGAUGCUCAUUCUAGAACCAAAUCCCUCUUGCACGUGCAAGUAAUGCUUGGCUCAUGAGGCCCCAAAGGCAGUACAAAUGUAGUGCAAAAAGCAAGAGGAAACUGCUCACUGUUUGUGCAAUAAUGAGAGCAGAGUCACCUCUCAGGAUUUAAAUCUUCAGAGUAAUUUGAUUUCCUACACCCAUUUUGCUAAAAAUCUGAUUUUAGAAGCUCACAUGAGCUGAUCUAAUCAAUAUAAACUUCUUAAAAGCAGAGUUGAAAACUGUUUUCUCUAUGAGGUUCAAUGGAAACAAAGCUACGUAAACCUGCGUGCUCUGAUUUAAAAAAAAAAAAAAAGAGAUUCAAACACUCUUUUUUUCUCUUUUUUUUUUUUUCUUCUUCUAAAUCACUGAGGUUCUAAUAGCCAAGGGUGGAAUAGUUAAAGUGCUUAAGCUAAAUCACUAGGACUUCUAGGAGCACAGGUCACGUAUCCAUGAAAUCUACAGUUAACCCUAUUUGCAACAAAACUGCUCCUUCCCUUCAUCUCUUAUGCUAAUACAGAGAUACGCUUUUACUUAGAAACAACACCUACCCUGGGAAAGUAGUUCAGAGUAUACAUGAUAAAUGUUAUCUAGUGUGACGAAGUGCUAAGAUGGCAAUAGAUUUGUUUAAAGCUGCACAGCUGAGCCCCAGCUAACUCUAUGUCACCUUCGAUCUCUAUAGAGCACGGAUUAAAGCCUAUGCUGCUACUUAAAGCAUGCAGCCAAGCACAAGAAAGAAAUGGCACAGAACUGCCAUGGGGUGCAUGGAUGGCUCGACAAAACAGCACAGUGCUACAGCAAAAUGGAGCCUGUGCAACAAUUUGAACUGCUUAAUCUAGCAAGUACUGACACCUGCUUGAGUUAGUGAGUGCCUGGUUUGUGUUUGCAGGAUCCCAAGGAAAGUCCUCCCAGGAAGCUUUGCAGAGCGGGGAGGAGGAGGCUAGUAGUGAGCAGUGAAUAAACCGGAGGAGGGAAGCAGGAAUGCUGCUGUUUGUGUGCCAAGUAAGAUCUUCAGGAAGUAUUUGAAAAUCUGGGCUCUUCACUUCCAUGAAAAGCAACAUGAUUGAAGGGAUCAGAGUUGAUGCCAACCUCAUGACUACCUUAGGUGGCACUAACAAGAGAAUAUCCAUCAGUAGUGAGUACAGACUGAGUUAGAGCAUUCCCAGGUGCAAAUUCAGUCUAAGAAUCAACAAACCAGAAAUAGUAAAAUUAUGCUUUGGACUUACAAGAGCACUGAACUACUCAAUUACUGUCAAAAAUCCCAAGUAAACGGUGCAUAGUUUCUCUCACAAAUGUUCCAAGCCUGUCCUCUUUACAAAGGGUUAUGUCCAGAUGAGCAACUCCAACAGAGAAGUGAAAGAAAAAACUCCAUCUGUUAACAGCAACACUAAUAGACAUGGUGAUGUCUUGGAUCUUCAUUUAGGUUGUGGUUCAAUUUGAUUAAAUGGGGAUUUCAGCUUGAAUUAAAUGACACUGAAAUCUUACAAUUGGUAUCUUAUUCUCUCUUAAAAUUUUUAGCUACUAGAUCUUUACCAUGUUAUUUUCACUCUAAAAAGACACAAAAUUUUAUUGCUGUCUUAUAAUCUAUCUCAAAAUACAGAUGAAAUAAUUUGGAUGCAAAGAUCCUCAAUUAUCUUCCUACCACCUGCAGUUCUAGUUUGGGAUUGUCUCUCACUAAAUCCUAUCUGAAAUCCAGUACAAGUCUUUGCCAGAAAAAAAUUAUGAUAAAGAAGUUGUGACCUACUGU